rnacentral:rRNA from 1 species
UACGAAGGGGGCUAGCGUUGCUCGGAAUUACUGGGCGUAAAGGGAGCGUAGGCGGACAGUUAAGUCAGUGGUGAAAGCCCAGAGCUCAACUCUGGAAUUGCCUUUGAUACUGAUUGUCUUGAGUAUGGGAGAGGUGUGCGGAACUCCGAGUGUAGAGGUGAAAUUCGUAGAUAUUCGGAAGAACACCAGUGGCGAAGGCGGCACACUGGCCCAUUACUGACGCUGAGGCUCGAAAGCGUGGGGAGCAAACAGG